rnacentral:rRNA from 1 species
UGGGGAAUAUUGCACAAUGGGGGAAACCCUGAUGCAGCGACGCCGCGUGAGUGAAGAAGUAUUUCGGUAUGUAAAGCUCUAUCAGCAGGGAAGAUAAUGACAGUACCUGACUAAGAAGCCCCGGCUAACUACGUGCCAGCAGCCGCGGUAAUACGUAGGGGGCAAGCGUUAUCCGGAUUUACUGGGUGUAAAGGGAGCGUAGACGGAAUGGCAAGUCUGAAGUGAAAUACCCGGGCUCAACCUGGGAACUGCUUUGGAAACUGUUGUUCUAGAGUGUUGGAGAGGUAAGUGGAAUUCCUGGUGUAGCGGUGAAAUGCGUAGAUAUCAGGAAGAACACCGGAGGCGAAGGCGGCUUACUGGACAAUAACUGACGUUGAGGCUCGAAAGCGUGGGGAUCAAACAGGAUUAGAUACCCUGGUAGUCCACGCUGUAAACGAUGAAUACUAGGUGUCGGGGUACAAAGUAUCUCGGUGCCGUCGCUAACGCAAUAAGUAUUCCACCUGGGGGAGUACGUUCGCAAGAAU